GACGAACGCUGGCGGCGUGCCUAAUACAUGCAAGUCGAGCGCUGAAGGUUGGUACUUGUACCAACUGGAUGAGCAGCGGACGGGUGAGUAACGCGUGGGGAAUCUGCCUUUGAGCGGGGGACAAAAUUUGGAAACGAAUGCUAAUACCGCAUAAAAACUUUAAACACAAGGUUUAAGUUUGAAAGAUGCAUUUGCAUCACUCAAAGAUGAUCCCGCGGUGGAUUAGCUAGGUGGUGAGGGAAAGGCCCACCCAGGCCAAGAUACAGAGCCGACCCGAGAGGGAGGUCGGCCAAAUUGGGAACUGAACCACGCCCCAGCGCCUUCGGGAGGCAGGCGGAGGGGAUCUUCGGCCAUGGAGGGAAGUCUUAACGAACAACGCCGCGGGGGUGGAGGAGGGUUUCGGAUCGUUAAACUCUGUUUGUAGGGAAGAACGUUGGGUAGAGUGGAAAGCUCAUGAAGUGACGGUAACUACCCAGAAAGGGACGGCUAACUACGUG
rnacentral:rRNA from 1 species